CCUACGGGAGGCAGCAGUAGGGAAUCUUCCACAAUGGGCGAAAGCCUGAUGGAGCAACGCCGCGUGGGUGAAGAAGGUCUUCGGAUCGUAAAACCCUGUUGUUAGAGAAGAAAGUGCGUGAGAGUAACUGUUCACGUUUCGACGGUAUCUAACCAGACAGCCACGGCUAACUACGUGCCAGCAGCCGCGGUCAUACGUAGGAUCCGAGCAUUAUCCGGAGUGACUGGGUGUAAAGAGUUGCGUAGGUGGCAUAAUAAGUAGCUAGUGAAAUCUGGUGGCUCAACCAUUCAGACUAUUAGCUAAACUGUUAAGCUCGAGACCGUUAGGGGUAACUGGAAUUUCUAGUGUAGGAGUGAAAUCCGGAGAUAUUAGAAGGAACACCAAUAGCGUAGGCAGGUUACUGGGACGGUUCUGACACUAAGGCACGAAAGCGUAGGGAGCAAACGGGAUUAGAUACCCCUGUAGUC
rnacentral:rRNA from 1 species